rfam:Clostridiales bacterium S5-A11 contig013, whole genome shotgun sequence.
GCGGCUGUAGUUCAAUGGUAGAAUAUGAGCUUCCCAAGCUUAGGAUGUGAGUUCGAUUCUCAUCAGCCGCU